GAUGAAGAACGUAGCGAAAUGCGAUAAGUAGUGUGAAUUGCAGAAUUCAGUGAAUCAUCGAAUCUUUGAACGCACAUUGCGCCUUCUAGUAUUCUGGGAGGCAUGCCUGUUUGAGCGUCAUUAAACCUCUCUCAAGUAUGAUUACUUGGAUGUGAAGGAAGAGUACCUUAAACUUAAGGAGUGUUCUCCUUUGAAAUUGAUUAGCAGAUGGUAAUGUUAUUAAACCCCUGAUGUUGUAAGAAAUAACAGUGGUUUUGUAGACUAUUAUCUAGCUUUAAAUUAUAAUUUUUAUUAUGGUUGACCUCAAAUCAGGUAAGGAUACCCGCUGAACUUAAGCAUAUCAAUAAGCGGAGGA
rnacentral:misc_RNA from 1 species